GCCUUAGUCACGGCGAGUGAAGCGGCAAAAGCUCAAAUUUGAAAUCUGGCACCUUCGGUGUCCGAGUUGUAAUUUGAAGAAGCUACUUUGGGGCCGUCCUUGUCUAUGUUCCUUGGAACAGGACGUCAUAGAGGGUGAGAAUCCCGUGUGGCGAGGAGUGCGGUUCUUUGUAAAGUGCCUUCGAAGAGUCGAGUUGUUUGGGAAUGCAGCUCUAAGUGGGUGGUAAAUUCCAUCUAAAGCUAAAUAUUGGCGAGAGACCGAUAGCGAACAAGUACAGUGAUGGAAAGAUGAAAAGAACUUUGAAAAGAGAGUGAAAAAGUACGUGAAAUUGUUGAAAGGGAAGGGCAUUUGAUCAGACAUGGUGUUUUGUGCCCUCUGCUCCUUGUGGGUAGGGGAAUCUCGCAUUUCACUGGGCCAGCAUCAGUUUUGGUGGCAGGAUAAAUCCAUAGGAAUGUAGCUUGCCUCGGUAAGUAUUAUAGCCUGUGGGAAUACUGCCAGCUGGGACUGAGGACUGCGACGUAAGUCAAGGAUGCUGGCAUAAUGGUUAUAUGCCGCCCGUCUUGAAACACGGACCAAGGAGUCUAACGUCUAUGCGAGUGUUUGGGUGUAAAACCCAUACGCGUAAUGAAAGUGAACGUAGGUUGGGGCCUCGCAAGAGGUGCACAAUCGACCGAUCCUGAUGUCUUCGGAUGGAUUUGAGUAAGAGCAUAGCUGUUGGGACCCGAAAGAUGGUGAACUAUGCCUGAAUAGGGUGAAGCCAGAGGAAACUCUGGUGGAGGCUCGUAGCGGUUCUGACGUGCAAAUCGAUCGUCGAAU
rnacentral:rRNA from 1 species